rnacentral:rRNA from 1 species
GAUGAACGCUGGCGGCGUGCCUAAUACAUGCAAGUCGAGCGAACAGACGAGGAGCUUGCUCCUCUGACGUUAGCGGCGGACGGGUGAGUAACACGUGGAUAACCUACCUAUAAGACUGGGAUAACUUCGGGAAACCGGAGCUAAUACCGGAUAAUAUAUUGAACCGCAUGGUUCAAUAGUGAAAGACGGUUUUGCUGUCACUUAUAGAUGGAUCCGCGCCGCAUUAGCUAGUUGGUAAGGUAACAGCUUACCAAGGCAACGAUGCGUAGCCGACCUGAGAGGGUGAUCGGCCACACUGGAACUGAGACACGGUCCAGACUCCUACGGGAGGCAGCAGUAGGGAAUCUUCCGCAAUGGGCGAAAGCCUGACGGAGCAACGCCGCGUGAGUGAUGAAGGUCUUCGGAUCGUAAAACUCUGUUAUUAGGGAAGAACAAAUGCGUAAGUAACUAUGCACGUCUUGACGGUACCUAAUCAGAAAGCCACGGCUAACUACGUG